CCCUAAAAAGUUCUUUAAACA
rnacentral:tRNA from 1 species